UACAGAGGGGGCAAGCGUUGUUCGGAAUUACUGGGCGUAAAGGGCGCGUAGGCGGCCUUCUAAGUCGAACGUGAAAUCCCUGGGCUCAACCCAGGAACUGCGCCCGAUACUGGGAGGCUUGAAUCCGGGAGAGGGAUGCGGAAUUCCAGGUGUAGCGGUGAAAUGCGUAGAUAUCUGGAGGAACACCGGUGGCGAAGGCGGCAUCCUGGACCGGUAUUGACGCUGAGGCGCGAAAGCCAGGGGAGCAAACGGG
rnacentral:rRNA from 1 species